CCAGUGUCUCACCCACGAGUGAAACUGAAAGAGCUCCUGCAGUGUCCCCCAUUCACUACAGUUACUGCAGAGUGAAUGAACCUGCUGCCUGUGGCUCCUCAUUAGUAACUGGAUUUCUUGGCUGGGUCACGGCUUCAUUUAAGGUGCAGAGGGAGCAGAGGGAGCAGAGCUGAGAACCACCAGCCACCAACCACUCCGCGCCGGUUCGGGGGAAAAUGACCACCAGCUGAGUUUCACUUGGGGAGAGGAGGCUCUGCGGCUGAUCUUCACGGACAAGAUGUUGGACAGAGACUUCACGCUGCUCUCUGAAUAUGGAAUCCAGCAUCUGUCCGUGAUCAAGAUGGCGUUGAAGGUUCCUGGAGGACUGACGGCCUGACAGAGACGACGUCCUCCCAUACCACCAUUGUGCUGCUUCACGAAGCUACUUCCUGUUUACAAAUGUCGAACCUUUAUUCCAAUAAACCUUUUAGUGAUGUUCCCAA